GGAUUCCCACAAAGGCUGAGCUGAAAAGCUUUCGCCAUUUGAGGGAGGAUUGCCAUCCGGGUACGUCCAAGCCGUCCACUUCUGGUGCCGGACAUCGGCAUGUCAGGGUCGAGCACAUUGCGGUGCCAUCCGAUGUCGAUGUUCGGGAGACGA
rnacentral:sRNA from 12 species